rnacentral:rRNA from 1 species
GAUGAACGCUGGCGGCGUGCCUAAUACAUGCAAGUCGAGCGAACGGACGAGAAGCUUGCUUCUCUGAUGUUAGCGGCGGACGGGUGAGUAACACGUGGAUAACCUACCUAUAAGACUGGGAUAACUUCGGGAAACCGGAGCUAAUACCGGAUGAUAUUUUGAACCGCAUGGUUCAAAAGUGAAAGACGGUCUUGCUGUCACUUAUAGAUGGAUCCGCGCUGCACUAGCUAGUUGGUAAGGUAACGGCUUACCAAGGCAACGAUGCAUAGCCGACCUGAGAGGGUGAUCGGCCACACUGGAACUGAGACACGGUCCAGACUCCUACGGGAGGCAGCAGUAGGGAAUCUUCCGCAAUGGGCGAAAGCCUGACGGAGCAACGCCGCGUGAGUGAUGAAGGUCUUCGGAUCGUAAAACUCUGUUAUUAGGGAAGAACAUAUGUGUAAGUAACUGUGCACAUCUUGACGGUACCUAACCAGAAAGCCACGGCUAACUACGUG